GUUGUAACAGUCAUUUUGCCAGGGCUGGUGAAAUCACUACCCACACUCAUCUCUAAGCAAGCCUAUCCAAGCAUCAUUGACGUAUUUGAUUCAGAUCUUUGAGAGUAUUUGGUGUAUAAAAGGACUUGGCUCUGGUACAUGUGACAGCAUAAAGUUCUGCUGCUAAGUGAAAGCCUGGAAAAGAUAAGAAAAAUGAACAGAAGGACCAUGCCUUCAAUAUGCAGCAGUCAAGAAAAAGUAGAUUUCCACCCAUGCCAAGAAAAAGAAGCAACAUGUAUGUCGCAGAAAAAUCCACUUUAGAACAUUCUGCAUAUGAAAGAGUAACACAGAACUACUUAUUCACAACCCACGCCACACUAUGCCAAUAAAACUGAUAUCAACA